UACAGAGGGUGCAAACGUUGUUCGGAAUUACUGGGCGUAAAGCGCGUGUAGGCGGCUAUGCAAGUCGGAUGUGAAAGCCCUGGGCUCAACCUGGGAACGGCAUUGGAAACUGGCUUACUAGAGUGCGGUAGAGGGGUGUGGAAUUCCCGGUGUAGCAGUGAAAUGCGUAGAUAUCGGAAGGAACAUCAGUGGCGAAAGCGACUUCCUGGACCAAUACUGACGCUCAUGUGCGAAAGCGUGGGGAGCAAACAGG
rnacentral:rRNA from 1 species